CGAUAUUUUGGCUUUUUUUAAAUUGGCCAGAUAGUGCAUUGCACUAUAAGAAAAUGUUUUCUGAAAUAAAAAAUGGGGGUAACCGACCUUUUUUUAAAGUAAAAUGCGUUCAAAGCCAAAAUAUCGGCCAUAGCAACAGUGGUGACGUCACUUUUCUGACCAAUUUUCGACUGUUUGAUUGUCGCUGUAUAUAUAAUAUACAAAUUUCGAUUUGUAAAGAGCAUCAUCUCUUCAAAAAGGUGAUCUAGUUUACGUAUUUUCAACAUUUCUAUAAACUGUAGCGAGCCACCUUAAUAAACAUUUUCAUUCUUUACGUUUCGACUAUUAAUUUAAGUCAUCUGCAGAAGAAUGCAACGUAUUUGAAACUAAUUUUCCGUUAGUUUAAUCCCCGAGCCAACGGCGCUGAGCGCCGUUCCGGGCAUAUGAUGCAUGAUUUAGGGUGUAUUAUCAAGUAUAUACUCGGGUAACAGUGUUACAAGUGUUACAUUAUCUUUAUUUAGGGGUAGGGUUAGGGUCAGUGUGUGUAACACUAUGUAACACGGUGGGGUUAGGGGUAGUGUGUGUAACACACUAACACUAGUUAUGUAACACUAUGUAACACGGUGGGGUUAGGGUCGGUUAGCGGUGGGUUAGGGGUACGGUUAGUGUGUGUAACGCUAUGUAACACUAUUUAACACUAUAUGUAACACUGUCAACACUCUGUAGAACUAUGCAGCACUAUGUAACACUGUGUAACACUAUGUAAGAAUAUGUAACAUUCGUUAAAAGGUUUGAAUCCAGGUUCAUUCAUUUUUUGUUUGUUUUACGCGAAGACAAUCACGCAAUCGUGCAGCUGACGCAAGAUAAACAUCAACGGAUAAAAUGAACAAACGUUCAAGUCUUCGAAAAUGGUUUUCGUAUAGGAAACCGAAACGUCAGACAAAACUUAAUUAUUUAAUUUUGUAAUAAUCUAGAAGAACAAUAAAACAAACAAAAAAUAUGUAACAUUGUUUAACACUGUGUAACACUUGUAACAGUGUUACAACUGAUCGAGUGCCAUAAUAAAGCCACCCUAAAUCGUGCAUGGUAUAGUUCCCGGUGUAAGCCCGGGGCACGUAGAAGGGACACUCCUUUGAUGUUAGGCGGUCGCGCCGACAUAUACCUGCAUACACCCGCGAGCGAGCGGCGGCCAUGUUCUUAGGUAGUAUCAUAGGUAGCCCAACAAUCAGUGUUAUUAAUUCAUUUCUGUUCAAUAAAAUCA